AGGGAUGUCAGUCUUCUCUGAGGCGGCGCUGGAGAAGGAGCUGUCGGGGUUAAGCAAUGCGCAGCAGAGCAUGCAGACCUGGUCCCUGUGGCUCAUUCAUCACAGCAAGAAGCACCCGGGCCCGUGGUCACCGCAUGGUAGCUGGAGCUGCAGAGAGCAAAGCCAAACAGGAAGCUUACUUUUCUUACCUUGCCAGUGAGACCACCUGGGCAACAUGGUGAAACCUUGUCUCUACUAAAAUACAAAGCAAAAGGAAGGGGCCGGAGCUUACAAAAGAUUUGCACUGGUUAUAGUGGAAGCUUUUAAGCAUGUUUCAAGUGAAACUGAUGAGAGUUGUAAGAAGCACAGAAGCACAUUGGAAGAGUGUUGUCUAUUUGGGAAGAAAGUGUGAUCCUAGCUACAUGGGAGGCUGAAGCAGGAGAAGUGCUUGAACCUGGGAGGUGGAGGUUGCAGUGAGCCAAGCCAUGGACUUGUCUUCCACAAGCACGUUCUUACCUCAGCCACAAAGUGACCAAGCCACAUGUACUAAGGGUUGAGAUCCAAGAUAUGUACAGAAUACUUAACAAAUACCAAGGGAACAGUUAACUUGCAUAUGAGGUCAAAAUCAGCAACAAGUUCUACAAUCCAGUGCUGAUAUCAGAUACAAGCUUCAAGGACGAAUUUCUUUUUGAAGGCUUAUUCCAGUUUCAUG
rnacentral:lncRNA from 1 species